rnacentral:rRNA from 1 species
UACGAAGGUGGCAAGCGUUGUUCGGAUUUACUGGGCGUAAAGAGCGCGCAGGCGGUCGUUCAAGUCGAGUGUGAAAGCCCCCGGCUCAACUGGGGAGGGUCAUUCGAUACUGAUCGACUCGAAGGCAGGAGAGGGAAGCGGAAUUCCCGGUGUAGUGGUGAAAUGCGUAGAUAUCGGGAGGAACACCAGUGGCGAAGGCGGGCUCCUUCGGCGUGUUCCU